UUCAUGUCCAUGAUUCAGGUUUUGUCAUUUUUCUAGUUGACUGAGAGCGGGACCCGCUCAAAAGGUUAGGUAUUUAGGAGUGUGUUGGGUGGCCAACUGACUUCCUUUUAUUUUGUGUAUGUGGUCGUGUCUACGUCUCUAAAGCUCACUCUCGAUAGAGAUUUAUUGUGUCUGAGUAUUCAUGAUAGAUUGGAUUGUUGGAUUAAUUGGCUUGUGUUUCUUUUUC
rnacentral:lncRNA from 1 species